UAUGAAGAACGCAGUGAAAUGCGAUACGUAAUGUGAAUUGCAGAUUUCAGUGAAUCAUCGAAUCUUUGAACGCACAUUGCGCCCGCUAGUAUUCUGGCGGGCAUGCCUGUUCGAGCGUCAUUUCAACCAUCAAGCCCUAGGCUUGCGUUGGAGCCCUGCGGCUGCCGCAGGCUCCCAAAUCCAGUGGCGGGCUCGUCGUCGUACCGAGUGCAGUAAACAUCCUCGCUCAGGGAACGUGACGGGUUCUUGCCGUGAAACCCCCCACAUAUCAAGGUUGACCUCGGAUCAGGUAGGAAUACCCGCUGAACUUAAGCAUAUCAAUAAGCGGAGGA
rnacentral:misc_RNA from 1 species